CCUGGUGGUUAGAGCGUGGUGGCCCCACCCGUUCCCAUUCCGAACACGGAAGUGAAACGCCACAGCGCUGACGAUACUCCCCGUGCGAACGGGCGUGGAAAAUAGGCCACCGCCAGGA
rnacentral:rRNA from 1 species